AUUGAACGCUGGCGGCAUGCCUUACACAUGCAAGUCGAGCGGCAGCACGGGAGCAAUCCUGGUGGCGAGUGGCGAACGGGUGAGUAAAGUAUCGGAACGUGCCCAGUCGUGGGGGAUAACGUAGCGAAAGUUACGCUAAUACCGCAUACGAACUAUGGAUGAAAGCGGGGGAUCGCAAGACCUCGCGCGAUUGGAGCGGCCGAUAUCAGAUUAGGUAGUUGGUGGGGUAAAGGCUCACCAAGCCGACGAUCUGUAGCUGGUCUGAGAGGACGCCCAGCCACACUGGGACUGAGACACGGCCCAGACUCCUACGGGAGGCAGCAGUGGGGAAUUUUGGACAAUGGGCGAAAGCCUGAUCCAGCCAUGCCGCGUGCAGGAUGAAGGCCUUCGGGUUGUAAACUGCUUUUGUACGGAACGAAAAGGUUUGGCCUAAUAAGCUGAGCUCAUGACGGUACCGUAAGAAUAAGCACCGGCUAACUACGUGCCAGCAGCCGCCGUAA
rnacentral:rRNA from 1 species